AUCCAUGUAAAUCUAGGUGUAGUCAAUGAAGAUUUUAAUAGUUAGUUUUAAAGUCCAUCCAAAUUUAGAUGUAUUCAAAAAUUAAAGAUUUUGUAGGAUUUCAUUAAGUUGUGGAUUUUGUAGGAUUUAAGAGGAGGAAGUAUAUAUAACAAAAACCAAAUAGAAUCCUACCUCACACCAUAGGAAUUCAAAUCCUAGUUGAGCGACUCCUCUUCUUCUCAUUGCCAGCCACUUUCUUUGCUUUAUCUUCUUCCUUCAUUUUUGCAAUAUUUUCUUCAAUUUUUGUUGUUGGGUUGCAUCAUUUUAUGCGAUUUUUUCUUCAAUUUUUUGUUGUUGGGUCGCAAUCUUUCUUCAUGUCCACAAUGUUUUCGCUGUUGUUGGACCCUCAUGCUAAUUGCUGCUAUGUGUGCAGCAUGGGUUCAUGUAUGAAUAACGUGACAACGAAUGAAUUCGUUUCUUCAUGUCUGCUUAUUUAUGCUUUUUUUUUUUUGGUACCAUAAAUGAAUUCAUUUCAUUAAUAAAUAUUAAGAAUAAAUAAGGUGAAGACGAAAGGGAUAAGAAUAAAGUGAGGGAGGAAGUAGGAUUGGAAAUGGGUGCACUAGGGAUCUUUGAGGAGUUGGGUUUAUGUGAUAAUCUUGACUUCUUUUUUUCGGCUCCAAGGGAUGCAGAUCCAGAUCAUGAACAACUUCAUUUGAUUAAAUUUAUGACCUAGAUACAUUUAUCAUCAUUUGAUUGAUUUGAUGAUUAAGAUUCAACGUUACAAAAUCUUUCAAAAUCUAUAGAAAUCUGUAUAAUCCUAUGAAAUCCAUCACAUAUCAAAAUCUAUUAAAAUUCUCUCAAAUCCAAGUUUGACUACACCCCCCUAAGAAUUAAAAAUUUUCACCACUUACAUAAAAACACGUAAUGUAUUAUCCGUGUUCCCGUCACAACUAAAAAUUUCUUUGAUAACAGGGCAAUCUCACUGGAUACAGCUCCCCCAUCAUUGUCAAGAGUUUAAAUAUGUUCACAACUUCAAAACAUAGGAUCUUUAAUUAUAUACCUCGAUCGAUUUUAUGAUAUGCAUGUCGUAUGACUAUUUCCCAGAUAUUUACAAAUGAUGUAUGAUCUCGAGUAACAAGUAAUUAACUAGCCAGGCCAAUAUGUAUAAGUUACUCCAUUAAUAAGUAAUAAGAACUGUUAUAUAUUUACGAUGAUGCAGUAAAAGUAACAUAAGAAAAAAUAGGAUGAAAGUGAAGUUAAGGUUU
rnacentral:lncRNA from 1 species